rnacentral:misc_RNA from 1 species
UAUGUAGGUGGCAAGCGUUGUCCGGAAUUAUUGGGCGUAAAGGGCGCGCAGGCGGUCCUUUAAGUGUGAGGUGAAAGCCCAAGGCUCAACCGUGGAGGGUCAUUGGAAACUGGCGGACUUGAGUGCAGAAGAGGAAAGUGGAAUUCCAGGUGUAGCGGUGAAAUGCGUAGAGAUGUGGAGGAACACCAGUGGCGAAGGCGACUUUCUGGUCUGUAACUGACGCUGAGGCGCGAAAGCGUGGGGAGCAAACAGG